CCUACGGGUGGCAGCAGUGAGGAAUAUUGGUCAAUGGACGAGAGUCUGAACCAGCCAAGUAGCGUGAAGGAUGACUGCCCUAUGGGUUGUAAACUUCUUUUAUAUGGGAAUAAAAUGUUCCACGUGUGGGAUUUUGUAUGUACCAUAUGAAUAAGGAUCGGCUAACUCCGUGCCAGCAGCCGCGGUAAUACGGAGGAUCCGAGCGUUAUCCGGAUUUAUUGGGUUUAAAGGGAGCGUAGGUGGAUUGUUAAGUCAGUUGUGAAAGUUUGCGGCUCAACCGUAAAAUUGCAGUUGAAACUGGCAGUCUUGAGUACAGUAGAGGUGGGCGGAAUUCGUGGUGUAGCGGUGAAAUGCUUAGAUAUCACGAAGAACUCCGAUUGCGAAGGCAGCUCACUGGACUGCAACUGACGCUGAUGCUCGAAAGCGCGGGUAUCGAACAGGAUUAGAUACCCCAGUAGUC
rnacentral:rRNA from 1 species